AGUGAAAUAACUGGGUCAAAUGGUGGCUCCAUUCCAAGUUUUCUGAGGAAUCUCCAUACUGCUUUUCUGUGUGAUUGUACCAAUUUGCAGUCCCACCAGUCAU
rnacentral:pre_miRNA from 1 species